ensembl:lncRNA
GCUAUCGAGUCAUUUCCUGUCCCAAUUACCAGACGCCAGCUGCGGCGAUUUCGCCUUACCUGUGACAGUGUAAACCGAUCAUAAUCCUCUAGUUUUCCUCGGCAGGAUGUAUAACAGCAACAGGCGGUUGAUGCGGUGGGCGUUGAUUGUACAGGGGUACAAUUUAACGAUCCAGCAUAUUAAGGGUUCUGACAACGUUGUCACUGAUGCACUCUCGCGAGUCUGGGGGAUGAGGAGUAGUUUAGCCCUGCUCCGGAGUUUACAUACCUGCACGUAGGGUUACUCUCCUGUCUAACAACACUAGCUACACCUGGCUGGGCCACCUACUGUAAGUUUGGUUAGGGCGUCUUGUUAGUGUGCCAGUUAGUGGUUUUCGUUGGGAGAUAGGACAGGUAAGGGGGUGGGAGGCAUUUUGUUCUUUUCUUUGCUUUGGUACCGCCAGCCCUCCUCAUUUCCCCUGUUAACAGCGCUUAAAUAAAAGCCUGCUUACCCCAACUUCAGGUGAUGUUGUUUUCUUGCACCUACGACGCCAUACCCGUUUACUGG